CGUUCAGGGGUAAACCUGAGAAACCCAAAAGAUCGAAUGGGGAGAUUCAUUGUCAGCUCAUUUUGUAUAUGUAGGANGUUAUGAUGCGAGUUACUCUNUGUAGUAUUGCUUGUACAUACUUUUACAUUUAUUCGCAAGAUGUUGUCGGCGUGCACUUCUCCCCUAGUAGAACGUCGCGACCCGUUGGGUGUUGGUCUACGACCCGAGUGGGAGACUUUAAUAUUUUNAUAAUAUUAAAAACCCUUGGUGUUCUCUGACCGGCUGCCCGGCGGUACUCGUACGGUAUUUAGCCGCAUUCUAUUUNGCGUCCAUGUUCGUUGCAAGCGAGGUUAAUUUCUGGUAGUNGCGGACCUAGUGCCGUCGCUGGGAUUGACCAGCUGUUGGUUAUACGGAAUUCUGGGACUGGCUAAAAUUAAUUACCGGUCGGCGAUGCUACUGCU
rnacentral:rRNA from 1 species